rnacentral:rRNA from 1 species
UACGAAGGACCCGAGCGUUAUCCGGAUUUAUUGGGUUUAAAGGGUGCGUAGGCGGACAGGUAAGUCAGUGGUGAAAUCUCUGGGCUUAACCCAGAAACUGCCGUUGAUACUAUUUGUCUUGAAUAUCCUGGAGGUAGGCGGAAUAUGUCAUGUAGCGGUGAAAUGCUUAGAUAUGACAUAGAACACCGAUAGCGAAGGCAGCUUACUACAGGAUGAUUGACGCUGAGGCACGAAAGCGUGGGGAGCAAACAGG